UACGAAGGGGGCUAGCGUUGUUCGGAUUUACUGGGCGUAAAGCGCACGUAGGCUGACUAUUAAGUCAGGGGUGAAAUCCCGGGGCUCAACCCCGGAACUGCCUUUGAUACUGGUAGUCUUGAGUUCGAGAGAGGUGAGUGGAAUUCCGAGUGUAGAGGUGAAAUUCGUAGAUAUUCGGAGGAACACCAGUGGCGAAGGCGGCUCACUGGCUCGAUACUGACGCUGAGGUGCGAAAGCGUGGGGAGCAAACAGG
rnacentral:rRNA from 1 species